GUGAUUGACUGCAGUAAGGAUCAGCAGUGUGAGGACAGAUAAGCUUAUUUUUGGAAGUGGGACGACUCUCACAGUUGAGCCAAACAACAUAAGGAGUUCUGACCCACAAGUCAUUGUGAUGAAGUCGAGAAACUGGAAGAAGAUGGCAACACCAAGAAAGUAGCUUGUUUGGCAAGGAAGUUCUAUACAAAGAAUGUCAUCUUGGAGGUGUCCUCUAAUGAAGUCAUAUAUGAGCAAAAUACACCCGUUUUGACAUCAGAAGGGUUGUACGAUACCAUUAAGGUGGUCAGUGCAACAAAAGGCACAGAGGUGGCUUGCACAGCCAAACACGAUGGCAAAGAAACAUUGCUAG